rnacentral:rRNA from 1 species
UACGUAGGGUGCGAGCGUUAAUCGGAAUUACUGGGCGUAAAGCGUGCGCAGGCGGCGCGUUAAGACAGGUGUGAAAGCCCCGAGCUUAACUUGGGAAUUGCGCUUGUGACUGGCGUGCUGGAGUGUGGCAGAGGGAGGUGGAAUUCCACGUGUAGCAGUGAAAUGCGUAGAGAUGUGGAGGAACACCGAUGCCGAAGGCAGCCUCCUGGGCCAGCACUGACGCUCAUGCACGAAAGCGUGGGGAGCAAACAGG